GGGAUUAGUGGCGAACGGGUGAGUAACACGUGAGUAACCUGCCCUUAACUCUGGGAUAAGCCUUGGAAACGGGGUCUAAUACUGGAUAUUGACUUUAUCUCGCAUGGGGUUUUGUUGAAAGAUUUAUUGGUUUUGGAUGGACUCGCGGCCUAUCAGCUUGUUGGUGAGGUAAUGGCUCACCAAGGCGACGACGGGUAGCCGGCCUGAGAGGGUGACCGGCCACACUGGGACUGAGACACGGCCCAGACUCCUACGGGAGGCAGCAGUGGGGAAUAUUGCACAAUGGGCGAAAGCCUGAUGCAGCGACGCCGCGUGAGGGAUGACGGCCUUCGGGUUGUAAACCUCUUUCAGUAGGGAACAAGGCCAGGCAUUGUUUGGUUGAGGGUACUUGCAGAAGAAGCGCCGGCUAACUACGUGCCAGCAGCCGCGGUAAUACGUAGGGCGCAAGCGUUAUCCGGAAUUAUUGGGCGUAAAGAGCUCGUAGGCGGUUUGUCGCGUCUGCCGUGAAAGUCCGGGGCUCAACCCCGGAUCUGCGGUGGGUACCGGCAGACUAGAGUGAUGUAGGGGAGACUGGAAUUCCUGGUGUAGCGGUGAAAUGCGCAGAUAUCAGGAGGAACACCGAUGGCGAAAGCAGGUCUUUUGGGCAUUAACUGACGCU
rnacentral:rRNA from 1 species